rnacentral:lncRNA from 1 species
UGAUGUUGUUAGGAGCUAGAUCCGCAAUAUCCUUUCCGUGCAGUCACAGACAUCUAUCACUCCAGAGUAAAGUGGCACCAAUAAUGACGCCAGCAUCUAAUUGAUAAGAGGUCCUUGACAUCUAAAUUUGAGCCACUGCAUGGAACUAUUCAAGCCACGUUGGGAUUUUGAGUUGUAACGAAUAUAAACUGUUUCAGUGCAGAAUCAUUUGAACCCAUUUUGUUGAAAGAAAGUACUUUUUUCUUGAUAUUGAGAAAAUGCCUUCAAAGGAUGCAAAAAAAAACAGAUAAUGGACACAGGUGAGUGGUUGUUUUGCAUUCAUUGCAUAGUUGAGCUAUCAUGGCAUCCAGUAUCACCAAAUGGUUGAUGGCUAAUUGUUCUGGUUUGGAUCAGAGCCUUGCAGAUCAGCAUAUUGGCUUAACAUUGUAGCGAGAUUGACUAGGCAACCCAUGAUCAU